GAUGAACGCUGGCGGCGUGCCUAAUACAUGCAAGUCGAGCGAACAGACGAGGAGCUUGCUCCUCUGACGUUAGCGGCGGACGGGUGAGUAACACGUGGAUAACCUACCUAUAAGACUGGGAUAACUUCGGGAAACCGGAGCUAAUACCGGAUAAUAUAUUGAACCGCAUGGUUCAAUAGUGAAAGACGGUUUUGCUGUCACUUAUAGAUGGAUCCGCGCCGCAUUAGCUAGUUGGUAAGGUAACGGCUUACCAAGGCAACGAUGCGUAGCCGAACUGAGAGGGUGAUCGGCCACACUGGAACUGAGACACGGUCCAGACUCCUACGGGAGGCAGCAGUAGGGAAUCUUCCGCAAUGGGCGAAAGCUUGACGGAGCAACGCCGCGUGAGUGAUGAAGGUCUUCGGAUCGUAAAACUCUGUUAUUAGGGAAGAACAAAUGUGUAAGUAACUAUGCACGUCUUGACGGUACCUAAUCAGAAAGCCACGGCUAACUACGU
rnacentral:rRNA from 1 species